rnacentral:rRNA from 1 species
GAUGAACGCUAGCGGCAGGCUUAACACAUGCAAGUCGGAGGGGCAGCACGGUAGCAAUACUGGUGGCGACCGGCAAACGGGUGCGGAACACGUACAGAACCUUACCUUUAGUCCGGGGCAUAGCCCGAAGAAAUUCGGAUUAACUCCCCAUAAUAUAAUUGGAUGGCAUCAUUUGAUUUAAUUAAAAAUUUAUUGGAUAGAGAUGGCUGUGCGUCCCAUUAGCUAGUUGGUAGGGUAACGGCCUACCAAGGCGACGAUGGGUANCUGGUGUGAGAGCACGACCAGCCAC